rnacentral:rRNA from 1 species
AUUUUACAGUUAACGAGGCGGGCUAUAAUGCAGUUGAGCGCUGAAGGUUGGUACUUGUACCGACUGGAUGAGCAGCGAACGGGUGAGUAACGCGUGGGGAAUCUGCCUUUGAGCGGGGGACAACAUUUGGAAACGAAUGCUAAUACCGCAUAAAAACUUUAAACACAAGUUUUAAGUUUGAAAGAUGCAAUUGCAUCACUCAAAGAUGAUCCCGCGUUGUAUUAGCUAGUUGGUGAGGUAAAGGCUCACCAAGGCGAUGAUACAUAGCCGACCUGAGAGGGUGAUCGGCCACAUUGGGACUGAGACACGGCCCAAACUCCUACGGGAGGCAGCAGUAGGGAAUCUUCGGCAAUGGACGAAAGUCUGACCGAGCAACGCCGCGUGAGUGAAGAAGGUUUUCGGAUCGUAAAACUCUGUUGGUAGAGAAGAACGUUGGUGAGAGUGGAAAGCUCAUCAAGUGACGGUAACUACCCAGAAAGGGACGGCUAACUACGUGCCAGCAGCCGCGGUAAUACGUACGUCCCGGAGCGUUGUCCGGAUUUAUUGGGCGUAAAACCAGCGCAGGUGGUUUAUUAACUCUGGUGUAAACGC